AAUCCAUACAACUCAUUUACUUAUUUAAUUUAUUUUAACUUAUUUGUUAUUUAUUUUUUAUUUUUUUGCAGCUACAUGGGUAAACGCAAUGAUUGGUAUAUGUGUUGUGGUUGUGGUUGGAUUGCUGUGCCUUGUGUGUUGCAAGUGUUUCAAGAAACACUCAGACCAUGAAAAGGUUGAAAAAAUGGAUGAGGUUGGAUUCUAACUCCCUCACAUACCUGGUCUUCAUGAAGUUGUCCUGCAUGAAAUCCAAGUGAAGAAUCCUGCAAAUAUAUAUACGCACUUCCCAGAACCCGGCAAGAGGCGGACUGAUUUCCCGCAACAAAUUCCUCCAUAGUCAGAACCAAUGUUGCUUUGUUGCUUAAUUUAGAAAAACUCCUUUCUAGCAGUCUCUAACUUUUUUCCCAUUCUGUACUCUAAAACAGAUCUGUCAUCGUCACAUAAGUCAGGUUGAUUUCACUUUUAUAAAGUGUAUGCUUGUCAUUUCUUAAUUUUUAACACUGUUAAUACAGUGAUCACUCUUCCUGAGAACAUCUAAGGAUUCAUGACAAAAAAAGUGCACUGACUGUCCCUUAGCUUACCGAUUUAGUCGAGGGCUGCGUUUAGCAUGAAUAUUUAUGUAGAAAGUCAAUCAAAUUUAAAAGAGAUGAAUGUCUGAAUUUGUAACUAUUUCAUAGUAUUUGGGAAUCCACAUUGUUCAAACAAAACCAAAUGUUGUACAAUGCUUAAGGCUUUGUUUUCAUUUUGCCUGUUGUUACUUUUCAUUUGGAUAAAACGUGUAUAUUACCCUUCCAGUAGAUACACUGCAGAAUGUAAUUUUCAGCGCAGAUUUUAAACUGAAAGUUCUGCUAAAUCCUGCUGAAGUACUUAAAGUGCCUUUUCAUUCUACGGUUUUCGUUAAGGGUUAUCUACACUGUAAAAAAUUACCUUGAAUUUAACAUUAAAAGACUAAAAAUGCUACAGUAAAAUCCUGUUAAAUGGUUAACGGUAAAUUCCCCUACUAUAUACAGUGAAAAACUGUAUUGGACAUUACAUGUAUU
ensembl:lncRNA